GAUGAACGCUGGCGGCGUGCCUAAUACAUGCAAGUCGAGCGAACAGACGAGGAGCUUGCUCCUCUGACGUUAGCGGCGGACGGGUGAGUAACACGUGGAUAACCUACCUAAAAGACUGGGAUAACUUCGGGAAACCGGAGCUAAUACCGGAUAAUAUAUUGAACCGCAUGGGUCAAUAGUGAAAGACGGUUUUGCUGUCACUUAUAGAUGGAUCCGCGCCGCAUUAGCUAGUUGGUAAGGUAAAGGCUUACCAAGGCAACGAUGCGUAGCCGACCUGAGAGGGUGAUCGGCCACACUGGAAGUGAGACACGGUCCAGAGUCCUACGGGACGCAGCAGUAGGGAAUCUUCCGCAAUGGGCGAAAGCUUGACGGAACAACGCCGCGUGAGUGAUGACGGUCUUCGGAUCGUAAAACUCUGUUAUUAGGGAAGAACAAAUAUCUAAGUAACUGUGCACAUCUUGACGGUACCUAAUCAGAAAGCCACGGCUAACUACGUG
rnacentral:rRNA from 1 species